rnacentral:rRNA from 1 species
UACGUAGGGGGCAAGCGUUAUCCGGAUUUACUGGGUGUAAAGGGAGCGUAGGCGGUUUAGCAAGUCAGAAGUGAAAGCCCGGGGCUCAACUCCGGGACUGCUUUUGAAACUGUUGAACUAGAUUGCAGGAGAGGUAAGUGGAAUUCCUAGUGUAGCGGUGAAAUGCGUAGAUAUUAGGAGGAACACCAGUGGCGAAGGCGGCUUACUGGACUGUAAAUGACGCUGAGGCUCGAAAGCGUGGGGAGCAAACAGG